CACGGUGUACGAUAUAUGAAUAUGAAUGUGAUGUGGUAGUUAAAUGAAAUGGGCGAUCAAACUCAACGCUUUCUCUUUAAAAUAAAUGGGACAAAAAAAUGCAUUUGUCUAUUCACAAAAUGGACUAUUUUGACUUGAGCUCACAAUUUUUUUGGAUAUUAUAAUAUGACUAAAACAACCACAAAAGUUUCAAAGAAAAAUCUUAGUUUAAUUGUAGUUUUAGUCU
rnacentral:lncRNA from 1 species